AACCGCGAGAAAAUACGGAAAAGCUGAAAGUUUUGUUAUACUGAAAGACAAAUUCGCAGUUGCUUAUAUCUCCUGAACAUAUUUCUGAGGGAACAUACGAAUGAAAGAAUUGUUGUGAGAUAAGGUGCCAUGUAAAAAAUGGCGAGUGAUAAAUCUCCAAGCCUCGUCUGAUAACACUCUAUUAUUUAAUUAUGUUGUUUCCGCUUAACUAGUCUUUCACAGACCAGGAAGUAAACGAACAAGACUGAUAAACAAGUAAAAUGGCGCACUGCGACUACACGGGAACUGUGUUGCUUGUGUUGUUAGAAAUGUUGUCUUUGUGUGCUGUACAGUGCAACCAGAUGAGAAAUGUGGCUAUUUACAAAGAGUGUGGCAUCAGUUCUCGUCAUAGUGAAAACGAAGGUCUGUAUAUCUCUGGAAAUUGCUCAUCCGCGAUCAAUGGAAACACCAACACAACAUUUGACAUUACCAAGCAGCCACCCAACUGCAUCCACACCUCGCUGGAGGACAACAGGCCCUUCUGGUGGGUGGAUUUGGGACAGGAGUUCACAGUUCACAAAAUUACCAUCUACGGGCGCCGUGGACAGGAGCAAAGAAUGACUGGUGUUAAGGUGUGGCUGGACAGUUCUCUCGUGAAGACAUUUCCUGGCGCCACAGAGGACAUCACCGUGACUACGGACUUGUCACUACAAGCGAAUCAAAGAGGGAGAGUCGUCAACAUCACUAGAAACCUGGUUUCACCUUCAGAUAAGGUGCCACUUCUUAACAUAUGUGAAGUCCAGGUGUGGGUCUGCGAUACUGUGUGGUGGGGAAACAACUGUCAGAAUCCCUGCAGCGCUUAUUGCUUAGGAAGAGGCGAGGAAAACAGCUGUGACCCAGAGGAUGGCUCAUGCUUGAAAGGUUGCUCAGACGGUCACUACAACAAGACUAACGGCUGUCAAAACACCUGUGGUGAAGGAUGUCAUGACACAUGUAGCAGGACUGACGGGACAUGUCAGUGUCGGCCAGGAUGGCAGCCUCCUCUAUGUCAACAAUGCUCAGACGGUCAUUACAACGUGUCUAACGACUGUCAAAACACCUGUGGUGAAGGAUGUAACAACACGUGUAACAGGACUGACGGGACAUGUCAGUGUCAGACUGGAUGGCAGCCUCCUCUGUGUCAAGAUUGCUAUGCUGGUCGUUACGGUAAGAAAUGCACCAGUGAGUGUGGACGUUGUCGCGACAAUAAAGCCUGUGAUCCUGUUUAUGGUACUUGUCCUGAUGGCUGCUCAGAAGGAUUCGAAACACAACUGUGCCAAACUGCUCACAAGGGAGAGGUCAGUCUGAUAUGGCCUCUCGUAGGCGGAGUCGGUGGCGGUGCUCUUGUCUUCAUUUUCGGCAUCAUACUCGGCAUGCGGUUGAAAAGGUGCAGAAGUCAGCAACACCCAGCUCUUCCACACGAUGACAUCUUGACGGCGCGUGAGCGGGGUAAACCGCCAAGUAAAACGUUCAACGAAUACGAGAACACCAGCUUCAGCAAGGACAUAUAUGAAACAGUGGAACAGCCCGGUGACUGUAAUCAGGGCAGUUUAUACACCAGCCUCGACCUGCCUGAUGAUGUUUAUGAAAACAUGACUGUCAGAUAGAAUCCCAGUAGUUUGCUGCCCUCGCAAGGUAGAUGGCAGCAAGUUCAGACUUACCUUGAACACACACAUCCCAUGGAUGAAAUAUUGAGGAGUGGGUGGAGCAGUACUCUUGGAUGUGCAAGAUAUUUCUUAAAGAGGCGGACUAUGAGGGUUGAUUAGAACGCUUCAAAUGUAGACAUAGUUCGAAGAGAUGAACGGAAGUGGACAUGUAGACAGUGACGCUGGUGAAGGAGGCGUGUGUCGUGGUUCGUUUUUCGCCUUUGGAAGACAAUACGAGCAUAAUUAUUUCGAGAUAUUAUACUGUGGAACUUGUAUUAACCUAUCUAAUUGAUGGGGAGAGUUUACUUCGUGUAAUUAAACCUUUAUUUGUGCAUUGUAUGCAAGCAAACUUGUAGAAGACUGUAGGAAGGAGGUGAAAAGAGAUAUGUUCGAGUGCGCGCGCGCGUGUGUGUGUUUGUGUGUUGUUUUCCUGGUUUCUUCUUAUUUUUAUGUAAGCUUUAUUAUUGUUAUUUGUAUUGCUGUACAUAAUAUGACUUGAAAUGAAAGAAAAAAAUUCUGAAGAUUGUUCAGUAGGUGGUUAGCGAGAAUGACAUAUAUGGAGUUGUAGAAAUAAACAGUAACCCAGUCGGGCCAACACAAAAGCAGACAUGAGCAUUAUGCUGGCAGAAACUGGGAAAGUUCAGAUUUAACUGAUCCUUUGAAGCUCAAGGAAGACAAACUAGAUGUGUGAUUGAAGAAGUGACGAUGCACUAUAAAGUAAUACGCACUUUGGGGGUCACUAAAUUUGACCUCGCCUGACGAAAGCAGAGACCAACGUAGGAUGCACACACAGAGUCAGGAAUGCAAUUUAGGCGCUUAUGUGUUUUAGAGAACUCAUAACCUGAAUCAGGGGAGAUAGGUAACUUCUGCGCUACGACUAGUAAAGUAUAGGUUAUCUCCCCUAACUAGACCUGCAUUUCACAAAAAACGAAUACAUGUACUUCCUUCCCCUGAAUGAUUGCAUUCAAACAAACAAACAAACAAACAAACAACAAACAAACAAACAAACAAACAAAGAAGCAAACAAAAUAAACAAACAACUUAACAACCACACAACAAAAGACGCCGCCAUUUACAGACGUAAAAUAAACCUGUUAUACAGAACAAUGCGUAUGUAUGUUUGCUACUCAUGUACAAUAUUUUACAAUUAAUAGCUUCUAAGAGUGUCCCUCACACUUUUAUAUUUUCAGUUCUAUGGAUUGAAGAAUAUCUUGAUGCCCAACGAACAAUUAUUGUACCCUUUUCAGUAUAUUUAAAAUAAAAGAGUGUUGUAAAAAA